GACGAACGCUGGCGGCGUGCUUAACACAUGCAAGUCGAACGGAAAGGCCCUGCUUUUGUGGGGUGCUCGAGUGGCGAACGGGUGAGUAACACGGGGGUAACCUGCCCUUGAAUUUGGGAUAACUUAAGGAAACUGGGGCGAAUACCGGAUAGGAGCUCCUGCUGCAUGGUGGGGGUUGGAAAGUUUCGGCGGUUGGGGAUGGACUGGCGGCUUAUCAGCUUGUUGGUGGGGUAGUGGCUUACAAAGGCUUUGACGGGUAGCCGGCCUGGGUGGGUGAACGGCCACAUUGUGACUGUGAUGCGUCCCAGACUCCUACGGGAGGCAGCAGUUGUGAAUAUUGCACAAUGGGCGGAAGCCUGAUGCAGCAACGCCGCGUGCGGGAUGACGGCCUUCGGGUUGUAAACCGCUUUCGCCUGUGUCGAAGCGUGUGUGACGGUAAUCGGUAAAGAAGCACCGGCUAACUACGUG
rnacentral:rRNA from 1 species